rnacentral:misc_RNA from 1 species
AAGACUAUAGACCUGCGGAGUACCUGCGGAAGGAUCAUCAUAGGAUUUCAGCAGGCCUCCGGGUUUUCUCUGGUUGGGGGGGAGCAAGUUGGCCUGCGAAGAACAACAAACAACAUUGACACCCAAGGAAAGGAAGCGAGGUGCGUGGUGCGUGGUGUGUGGUCAAACACACAGCGUGCGCCGUGUGCCGCAAAGACAUGUAUACGUGGAUGCCUGAUAGAAAAGAGUUUGGAUGGAGGG